rfam:Ovis aries breed Texel chromosome 14, whole genome shotgun sequence.
UCCCCGGUGGCUGAGACGGUAAAGUGUUUGCCUGCAAUGCGGGAGACCCAGGUUUGAUCCCUGGGUCGGGAA